CGGAACGUAGCGCAGUCCGGUAGCGUACACGGCUGGGGGCCGUGUGGUCGCGGGUUCAAAUCCCGCCGUUCCGA
rnacentral:tRNA from 1 species